rnacentral:rRNA from 1 species
AAGCGGCGGACGGGUGAGUAACGCGUGGGUAACCUGCCCUGUACACACGGAUAACAUACCGAAAGGUAUGCUAAUACGAGAUAAAAUACUUUUAUCGCAUGGUAGAAGUAUCAAAGCUUUUGCGGUACAGGAUGGACCCGCGUCUGAUUAGCUAGUUGGUGAGGUAACGGCUUACCAAGGCGACGAUCAGUAGCCGACCUGAGAGGGUGAUCGGCCACAUUGGAACUGAGACACGGUCCAAACUCCUACGGGAGGCAGCAG